rnacentral:rRNA from 1 species
CCGUUCUCAGUUCGGAUCGGAGUCUGCAACCCGACUCCGUGAAGCUGGAUUCGCUAGUAAUCGCGUAUCAGCCACGGCGCGGUGAAUACGUUCCCGGGCCUUGUACACACCGCCCGUCAAGCCAUGGAAGCCGGGAGUGCCUGAAGUGCGUGAGCGCAAGCAGCGCCCUAAGGUAAAACCGGUGACUGGGGCUAAGUCGUAACAAGGUAAC